CGCGCUCCCCCACGAUAGCCGCCAUGCACCCUAUCUCUGUCAUGCAUGUGCCUCCUCCCCCGCCCGCACGAGACCCGCCACGCUCCCUCUACGCGCCUGCCUCCUCCUCGGCCCGGAUCCCGCCGCCAGCGCCUGAUAUGGAGAUGAAGGCGUCGGCCUCCGAUGAAACCCUAGCUGCCGUCUUGGACCACCUCAAGCCCCACACCGUCGGCACCUUCCUCCCCCCUCGCUGCACCGGCCCUCAAUCUGCAUCUGCGAUAGGUACCCCUCUGCCCCAGAUUGUCGCCCCCGCCCUCGAUUCGCGUCCGCGUUGUGGCGUCUGCAGUCUCCAUG
rnacentral:misc_RNA from 1 species